UGUCCAAAAAGAUCACACGUGAUUAUUUAUGAAAUUGGGAAGUGAUGGUAUUUUUAGGAUUAAGAGAAUUUUAGACAUUUAAGAAAAAUAGGUUAUUUUAGUAUUUCAGGUUUAGGAAUCGAAAUACUUGUUCUAUUGAAAUUUA